rnacentral:rRNA from 1 species
UACAGAGGGGGCAAGCGUUGUUCGGAAUUACUGGGCGUAAAGGGCGCGUAGGCGGCCUUCUAAGUCGAACGUGAAAUCCCCGGGCUCAACCCGGGAACUGCGUCCGAUACUGGAAGGCUUGAAUCCGGGAGAGGGAUGCGGAAUUCCAGGUGUAGCGGUGAAAUGCGUAGAUAUCAGGAAGAACACCCGUGGCUAAGGCGGCUCUCUAGUACGGUACUGACGCUGAGACGCGAAAGCGUGGGGAGCGAACAGG